ACCCGCACAAGCAGCGGAGCGUGUGGUUUAAUUCGUUGCUACACGAAGAACCUUACCUGGGUUUGACAUAUAGGUUGUAGGGAACUGAAAAGGGACCGACCCUUCGGGGAGCCUAUACAGGUGUUGCAUGGCUGUCGUCAGCUCGUGUCGUGAGAUGUUCGGUUAAGUCCGCUAACGAGCGCAACCCUCGUCGUAUGUUAUACGUGUCAUACGAGACUGCCGGUAAAAGCCGGAGGAAGGUGAGGAUGAUGUCAAGUCAGCAUGACCUUUAUAUCCAGGGCUACACACACGCUACAAUGGUCUGUACAAUGGGUAGCCAAGCCGCGAGGCGGAGCCAAUCCUGAAAGCAGGCCUCAGUUCAGAUUGCAGUCUGCAACUCGACUGCAUGAAGCCGGAGUUGCUAGUAACCGCAGGUCAGCAAUACUGCGGUGAAUACGUUCCCGGGUCUU
rnacentral:rRNA from 1 species